CCAGCAUCUGGGAAGAACCACUCACUCCUGCCUAAGGGUCUGAGCCAGGCCAUUUUGCUGCAGUCAUUCGUUACAGCUCUCCUGCUAACACUGCACCUGAUUUCCUUGGACCUAAGCUGUCUGAAGUCAGGAACUGACCCCUUCUCACCAGCUUUGUGUGUCUUCUGUGGCAUCUUCUUCCAAGGAACAGAGGUGUCUGAAAUGCAAGUGGAGGAUCACUCCCACUGGGAAGGUUGUGCUGCUGUCACCAGGAGCCAAUGCGAUGGGCGUACUGACAACUCACAAGACACAUGCAUGCUUCAGCCCCAAGAGAACAGAAGAGCUGAAUUCCCUUCAUUUCACUAUAAUGGAAACCCAGGUACUCCGAACAGUUGGCAAUAACGUAGUUGCAUGCAAGGACCUUUCCCACAUGCUUGAAGGUAGCAGCUCCCAUGCAG
rnacentral:lncRNA from 14 species